UGCUCCAGGGUGCAUCCAUCCUGUGACUCCCGCCUGCUCUGGACAGGACCAGAGGACAUGUGGACAUUAGUACAUUGACCCCAAAUGCUUGUUCCUGGAAGUAACAUGGUGUACAUCUGCUCCAUUGCCUAGAACAAGACCUAUGGCUUCAUGCAGCUUGCAGUGGCUGAUGGGGGACAUCACUCAGACUGGAUGUAGAAGCACCUGGGGACCACAUCACCUUCAAGCUAACGACAGAGACACUCAUGAAUCAGGACAGUGUUUCCUUCUCACCAGUGUUUUAAAGACAGAGUAACUUUUUGCCAGAGGUACUAUUUAUAUUAAUGAUAUUGGGCUGGAAUUGGCACUUUUUCUGUAGAUGUUGUUGAGCAACCUGGUGGAAAGUUCCUGGUACUCACAAUAAGCAUGGCACGGGGUGUUCUGGGCUUUCCUUUCAGACUCAUGGAUCGGGCUGCUGGCUGUACUAUGGCUUAUAGCUAACUGUCCACCUGAAUCCUGUACUGUAGCUUGUCCCUCUGAAAUGCACCAGUGUCUGGCUUGGUGGGAGACUUUCAGACUCACUGACUUGCAGAAGGCUGAGGAGGUCAUCGGGCCCCAUGAUGGGGAGAGAGAAGGUGGCUGACACAUGGGUCACAUAGACAGCCAGGUGAGCUCCUAGCCUUCAUUUGCAACAGGGCAUUCUACAUUCCGAGCCAAGGUGGAGCCAGAGGAAGGGCUGGGGACAGGCUCAGGCAGCAUCCAGCUGGGGAGGAGGUGCUGGAACAGGGCUGCUGGUCCAGGGUGCUCAUCCCUAUGGCCUCCAGCUAUGCUCUGGUGCCUUUUGUGACUCUCCUCAAACGUGUGUCAUUGACUGCAAACAUAGCUUAGAGACAGGAGUGAGCUAAUGAGAUUGCAGGAAGUCUUGCUGGGUUCUGCUUCACACCACAGUUCAUCACAUCACCACCGAAGCCACGGGCUCUCUGUAGGGCAUCUGCCCAAGGCUGUAUGCCUCAGAGCCUACCAUCGUGGACCUGUUGAUAUGAGCCCUGUCUGUCUUGAUGUUGCUCUGUGGGCCCUGCCUGAUGGACUGCUGGUGAGUCCUGCCUAUGUGGGUCCUGCUUGCUGCCCGGGCUCUGUGUGUCCUGCCCUUGGCUCUCCAAUUUCCUGUUUCUGAGCACUCCUUGUGGCUGCUCCUCACGUCUGAGGGCCAUGCUGCUUAUCUCUAUGCAUCCAGCUUCCUGCACACCAGACUGGACAUGGCUCGCUGUCCCUGGGACUUCAGAAGUGACUUCUGAUUGCAGUGUCCUUUCUCUCAUUCUGUUUCAUUUUCAUUUUAUGUCUCACACUCUAUCUCUGGAGAACUUAAACUCCAUGAUGGCAGAAACACCAGCCCUUCAGAUGUAGCCAGUGGUGCCCCUGGCAUGUUUCUUAACCUCUGCGCAUCACCUCGCCUGUCUUCUCAUCAUUCUGAUGAGAUUAUGUGGCGCCUGCCUUCUGAGGCUGUCAGGGAAAUGAGUGGGCUACCUGCAUGUGAGUGCCCUAGUGACAUCUUCUAGGCUCAGAACAUUGCCAUGUCCUGAGCACUAUCACACUGUCAUGAUCUCUGUCUGAUUUCAUAUUGCAGCAUUGCACAUGGUUACCAGUGACACUCCUCACACACAGGAGUGUCGCUGGUGUUUGGGCAGGGCCGUGGCCUCAGCUCAGCCCAGUGCAGGACAACCUGUGUCCCAGCCUAUCUUCCUCCUGGAGCACUGAGUCCUUUCCUUUCUAGAUCACACAGUGGGAAAUUGUUGGGAGCCGCCGACACCGGUCGCCUUACUUGGCGGACGUAGGGCCUGUGGGUGGGAGCGGAGCCUGAGCUAGAUUGCCCCUCCCAUCGAGUGAGUCAAGUUGGCGCCUGCUUCCUGCCCCCUGAUUGCGCUGGCGACUUAAACAACCCGCUCUGUAAGAUAGUCUGCCUAGCAACAACUGAUGUUAGCCAAUCAGCCCGCAUCGCGCGCUUUGAACUGAUUGGCCACUGUCACCCUAUAAAAGUGAAUGCCUCUCCCGCCACGAGACAGGAAGCACAGAGAGAGAUAGAGAAAGUCCACCGGCGAGAAAGGGCUGGUGGCAGAGAGGAGGCCUCGCGGGGCCCACGCGGAGACAAAUAAAGGCAAGGUUGCACACCGCCA